AAGAUUUUAAGUUAAAUAAAACUUUUAACCUUCAAAGUUAACAAUAUAAGUAAAUAUAUAGAUCUUA
rnacentral:tRNA from 1 species